UCCCUGGUGGUCCAGUGGUUAAGACUCUGUGCUUCCACUGCAAGGGGCACAGGUUCGAUCCCUGAUGGGGGAA
rnacentral:tRNA from 1 species